GUGGGGAAUUUUGGACAAUGGGCGCAAGCCUGAUCCAGCAAUGCCGCGUGCAGGAAGAAGGCCUUCGGGUUGUAAACUGCUUUUGUACGGAACGAAACGGUCCUGGUUAAUACCUGGGGCUAAUGACGGUACCGUAAGAAUAAGCACCGGCUAACUACGUGCCAGCAGCCGCGGUAAUACGUCGGGUGCGCGCGUUAAUCGGAAUUACUGGGCGUAAAGCGUGCGCAGGCGGUGCUGUAAGACAGGCGUGAAAUCCCCGGGCUCAACCUGGGAAUUGCGCUUGUGACUGCAGUGCUGGAGUACGGCAGAGGGGGAUGGAAUUCCGCGUGGAGCAGUGAAAUGCGUAGAUAUGCGGAGGAACACCGAUGGCGAAGGCAGUCCCCUGGGCCUGUACUGACGCUCAUGCACGAAAGCGUGGGGAGCAAACAGGAUUAGAUACCCGGGUAGUCC
rnacentral:rRNA from 1 species